CUGGCUCAGGAUUAACGCUGGCGGCAUGCCUAAUACAUGCAAGUCGAAUGAGAAGCUUGCUUCUCAUGGCGAACGGGUGAGUAACACGUAGGUAACCUGCCUUACACUCGAGGAUAACCGUUGGAAACGACGGAUAAUACUGGAUAGGACAAAGAUUCGCAUGAAUCGUUGUUUAAAAGCAAUGGUGUAUGAGGGGCCUGCGGUGCAUUAGCUAGUUGGUGAGGUAACGGCUCACCAAGGCGAUGAUGCAUAGCUGGACUGAGAGGUUGAACAGCCACAAUGGGACUGAGAACGGCCCAUACUCCUACGGGAGGCAGCAGUAGGGAAUUUUCGGCAAUGGGGGAAACCCUGAACCCGAGCAAUGCCGCGUGAACGAUGAAGUAUUUCGGUAUGUAAAGUUCUUUUAUUAGGAAAGAUAGUGACGGUACCUAAUGAAUAAGCUCCGGCUAACUACGUGCCAGCCGCUGC
rnacentral:rRNA from 1 species